AUGGGUGAUGUAGAGAAAGGCAAGAAGAGUUUUGUUCAGAAGUGUGUCCAAUGCCCAAUGCCACACCAAGGUAAAAUGAGGCAAGCACAAGAGUGAGCCAAAUCUCCAUGCUCUAUUUAUGCAGAAGACAGGUCAGGCCACUGAAUUCUCUCACAGACACCAAUGAGAACAGAGGCAUCACCUGAGGAGAGGAGACACUGAUGGAGUAUUUGCAGAAUCCCAAAAAGUACAUCCCUGGAACAAAAAUGACCAUUGCCAGCACUAAGAAGAAGGCAGAAAGGGCAGACUUGAUAGCUUAUCUCAGAAAAGCUAAUAAUGAGUAA
rnacentral:lncRNA from 1 species